GCCAUAGCAAACUCCGAAUACCGAAGAGUGGAAUCACGGGAGACAGACAUCGGGUGCUAACGUCCGGUGUCAAGAGGGCAACAGCCCAGACCGUCAGCUAAGGUCCCAAAGAUUGGCUCAGUGGGAAACGAAGUGGGAAGGUCGAAACAGUCAGGAGGUUGGCUUAGAAGCAGCCAUCCUUUAAAGAAAGCGUAAUAGCUCACUGAUCGAGUCAUCCUGCGCGAAAGAUGUAACGGGGCUUAAGCCAGUCACCGAAGCUGCGGAUGCAAGCGUGCUUGCAUGGUAGGAGAGCGUUCCGUAGGCCGGAGAAGGCGCAUUGAGAAGUGCGUUGGAGGUAUCGGAAGUGCGAAUGCUGACAUGAGUAACGAUAAAGGAGGUGAAGAGCCUCCUCGCUGUAAGCCCAAGGUUUCCUGCGCAACGUUCAUCGGCGCAGGGUGAGUCGGCCCCUAAGGCGAGGCAGAAAUGCGUAGCUGAUGGGAAGCAGGUGAAUAUUCCUGCACCAUCGUAAGAAUGCGAUGAGGGGACGGAUCACGGAAGGUUGUCC
rnacentral:rRNA from 1 species